rnacentral:lncRNA from 1 species
AGUAUUGUUGUAAAGAAGCCACAACCUGCUCGGACAGCUCAUGCUUGAGGAUACUUGUCCUUCAACCACAUUUUUCUUCACCCUUAAGUAUCACUCACGACCCCAAUCUUUAAGACUACUUAUAUUUCUCUUAAAUAGGACAUUUAACCCUCCAAAAUUAUCUCAAAGUGACCCCAAGUGCAAGAGAGAUCAAGGGAAGCAAAGAGAUAGAAAGAAACAAGAAGCUGGAAUUCUGGACAGCUGAAUUACUUCACUAUUUUGAGGUUGGUAUCCAUUAUUUUUGAGGGGUUUAUAAUCUCUUGAACAUCUGAACUUGAUUCUAAUUAGAUGGUACGGUUGUUGAUGAUUUUAUGAUGGCAAAAUAAGAGCAAUUAUUUACAAGAAAUUGAAAGAAAACGAAAAUUGUCACAAGGAAAACUGCCUAAUUUGAUGUUGUGGAAAAAGGACGGUUUUGGAGGAUGAAAACACUUCACUUAUCAAAAAUUUAUGACAUGAUUACCUUCAUAUACAUGUUAUAGAAAUAUGGUAAAAAUUUGGGAGUCAUUGCAUAUGGUUAAGGGGGUGAAAAAUGAUUGGAAAAAUAGUUGGAUGGUGAUGGAAAACAGAAAAACGGAUUCUGUCCAUUUCGUGUUUGAUGUAGUUUCAACCUUUACAUGUCCAUUAAUCAUCUCUUGGGCCUAGAAAAUAGAUUCUAAAGAGUACUAGGUUGUUGACAAUAAUUUCAUGAUGUUGACGUUCAUAAUUGGAUUUGAGAAAUAGUGAGAUUUAUGGGGCUAGUUUGUAAUGACUUCAGUAACUUAAAAUUAUAAUAUCGUCUAAAUUGUUUUGGCAUGAAUGGAUAUAUUUUGGGAUUGUGUGUGUGUUAAGGUUAUUAAAUAGAGGAUUGUCUUUAAUAUUAGAUGGUAAUACAGGUGAUUUUUCGACGUUGAGUGAAAAAAAAAAUGAUAUACACUUCAUUGGAGUUUGCACACACAAAGGCGAAAGGUAAAUAAAAAUUCAUUUCCAACUACGAUGCAAGAACCUAGUAUUUGUGAUAUGAUAAUAUUGGAAUAUUUACAUAACUUUGAUAAGAGACUUAUUGCACAUCAUAUGAUGGUUAUGAUUAUUGAGUAUGAGGUUGCGGAGCCUAUUGAUAUCAAUUUUUAUUAAAUAUGUCAUUCAUAAGCAUUUUCAUCUGUAUGCAUGACAUGUGAUCAUGGUUGAAAAUCCUGCAUGUGAAACAUGAUUUCAAAUUGUGCUUUCCUUAUAAAUGUUUUAUUGACCACUACUAGGGCACUGAUGCAUGUAAAGUAUGUUUAUAUGAUAUGUUUUGGUAUCGCGGUUGAUAUUUUCUGGAUGAUUACAAAGGUAGACAGGCGAUGGGCCUUUGGUGAUCACAGGAGGGUGGACCACUCUACUGUGCUAUUGUGAUAUUAUGAUUAUUGGUGCUGCUGGGUGGGAUACUUCUUAGGGGAUCAUAGAGUUAGUUAGGGGAUGGACCUCUAGUGGUUAUGAGAGGAUGGUCCACGCACCGGUGUCGAUUUCAUAUCGACCAUUUAAUUAUUGAUUAUUGAUAUUGAUAUUACGCAAAGCUCAAUUCGAUGCAUAGUAGGUGGGUUAAGGGCCCAGUGAAAUGAAAGAUUUCAAAUGAAAUGAUUUCGAGUUGACUUUGAUGAAUAUUGAAAUAUGAUGUAUCUUUAGCUUGAUGUUUAAAGUAAAUGGCAUGGCGUCAUAUAUCAUUGUUACUCAUACUCAUGACAUGGAUGAUUUUUGCUUACUAAGCAUUGGCUUAUGUAGUUCUUGCAUUGUAGGUAAGGAUGGAACUACAUAGAGAACACGGCUAGCUGUGGAGCUCUUAUGGGAUUCUAGAGUUCGAUAUACAUGGAUGAUGACCAGUAGUGCUACUUUGUGGGCUGUUGUUUUGAGCUUGCAGUCUAUUGUGUUAUAUUUUGGGGAUCCCGUAUUUUAUACCCUUUUUGAAAUUGCUUGUAGAUAUAACCUCAGAACAUGUAUGUUGGAUUUUCGUUAUAUGAUAUUUGAUUUCGCUGUACCAUAUGAUCGUCACAGGUUAGUAGGAGUUAACAAAUGGAGACAUAAUUGUG